rnacentral:rRNA from 1 species
GAUCAUGGCUCAGGACGAACGCUGGCGGCGCGCCUAACACAUGCAAGUCGAACGGAGUUAAGAGGAGCUUGCUUUUCUUGACUUAGUGGCGAACGGGUGAGUAACGCGUGAGUAACCUGCCCUGGAGUGGGGGACAACAGUUGGAAACGACUGCUAAUACCGCAUAAGCCCACGGAUUCGCAUGGAUCUGCAGGAAAAGGAUUUAUUCGCUUCAGGAUGGACUCGCGUCCAAUUAGCUUAGG